GAUGAACGCUGUCUACAGGCUUAACACAUGCAAGUCGAGGGGAAACGACGGGGCAGCUUUCUUCCCCGGGCGUCGACCGGCGCACGGGUGAGUAACGCGUAUCCAACCUGCCUCUGACUGAGGGAUAACCCGUCGAAGGUCGGCCUAAUACCUCAUGCCAUCGUCUGCGGGCAUCCAACUACGUUUAAAGAUUUCACCGGUCCGGGAUGGGGAUGCGUCGGUUCAGCUUGUUGGCUGGUUAACGGCAUACCAAGGCUACGAGCCGUAGGGGUUCUGCGAGCAAGGACCCUCGCAUUGGAACUGGGCCACGGUCCAAACUCCUACGGGAGGCAGGAGUGAGUAAUAUUGGGCAAUGAGCGGGAGCCUGAACCAGCCAAGUAGCGUGCAGGAUGACGGCCCUAUGGGUUGUAAACUGCUUUGAUGCGGGGAUAAAGUGAUGGACGUGUCCUUCAUUGCAGGUACCGCAUGAAUAAGGAACGGCUAAUUCCGUG
rnacentral:rRNA from 1 species